rnacentral:rRNA from 1 species
CUGAAUAUACCGGUUCUCGUUAGAUCACCGAAGAGCAUCAUUGGGCGCGGUCAGUACUUGGGUGGGUGACCACCUGGGAACACUGCGUGCCGUU